rnacentral:miRNA from 1 species
CUGCUGCUUCGGGACAUGACCA